UACGUAGGGUGCAAGCGUUGUCCGGAAUUAUUGGGCGUAAAGAGCUCGUAGGCGGUCUGUCGCGUCGGCUGUGAAAACCCGGGGCUCAACCCCGGGCCUGCAGUCGAUACGGGCAGGCUAGAGUGCGGUAGGGGAGACUGGAAUUCCUGGUGUAGCGGUGAAAUGCGCAGAUAUCAGGAGGAACACCGGUGGCGAAGGCGGGUCUCUGGGCCGUAACUGACGCUGAGGAGCGAAAGCGUGGGGAGCGAACAGG
rnacentral:rRNA from 1 species